GAGAGAGAGAGAGUUUUACCUUCUGCUAAAGUGGACAUGAUUGAAACAUGAUUUCUGAGAUCCUGACAUGCUACAUGUGUCUCUUCCAAGCCAGAGUGAGCCAGGGGCAGAUGAGCCCAGCUGUAUUUCAUGUGUCACGGACUUAGAACAGGGGAAGGAGUCCGUCGUCACGGGCACGGGAGGCCAUGGCCAGCAGCUGCCUACAAAACAACACAUGAAAGCAACCGUAAUUCCAACAUGGAAAGAUGGAGACGGAUUCUCUUUCGGUGUAAACAUCUUGAGUUCUUAUGUGAAGCGCCGUCGGUGGAAUUCCACUCUGCGGAACUCUGCAUCAAAAACGGAAGAUGCUCCAGGAAAGUCUUAGUAAGAACGAGGCGGAGAAAGUGAAAACAUUUAGAGGGCAAAUAAGCAGGUCCCUCCGACUGGCAGGACUGGGCAUACCUGCUGGCUCACCACGCUUCUUAAAGAAGUUGAGUUAUGGCCUUGCUGGUGGCUGGCAAGCCCCCCCCCACUCUCGUUAGGGGGAGGAAGAAAGGCCAUGUGCUCUGGCCUUCGGGUCACCAUGGCAACCCCAACCUGUUGCUUCCCUCUCUAAUGCAGAGAAAUUUAUGAAAACCCCUGAAACACAGAGGACAUCACGAGAGACAAACCAAAAGCGGAGUGAGACAGCACACACAGGGUGGAGACACAACUAGGACGAUAGACAAGACCGAUGUCUCUACAGUGUCUCACCUAGGGUAGAUCUUUGAGUAAGUGGACUUCAUGCAGGCUACUGGUGAACAUUUCACUCUUCUGGAGCCUGUGAGCUGCUCUUCCUCACAUACUGCACCAUAAAGAGGAUCUUAGAAUGCUAAACUGGAUGUAAAAUACUCUGAUUCUCUGAUUUCUGGAACCCACAGUAUUUUGUGCCAUGUUUGAAUAUCAUAAGAGACUCAUAUUUGGCAUAUACAACCUUGAACUUCACCACAGGCAAAUUCAUUCACAUUCAUGUUCAUAGUCUCUCUCUCUCUCUCUCUCUCUCUCUC